rnacentral:rRNA from 1 species
AUUGAACGCUAGCCGUAUGCCUUACACAUGCAAGUCUAACGGCAGCGCGGUCUUCUGUCUGGCGGCGAGUGGCGAACGGGUGAGUAAUAUUUCGGAACGUGCCCAGUAGCGGGGGAUAACUACUUGAAAGAGUGGCUAAUACCGCAUACGCCUUACGGGGGAAAGGGGGGGAUCGCAAGACCUCUCACUAUUGGAGCGGCCGAUAUCGGAUUAGCUAGUUGGUGGGGUAAAGGCCCACCAAGGCGACGAUCCGUAGCUGGUUUGAGAGGAUGAUCAGCCACACUGGGACUGAGACACGGCCCAGACUCCUACGGGAGGCAGCAGUGGGGAAUUUUGGACAAUGGGGGCAACCCUGAUCCAGCCAUUCCGCGUGUGUGAAGAAGGCCUUCGGGUUGUAAAGCACUUUCGGCAGGAAAGAAAUGGUACAUAUUAAUACUUUGUGCGGAUGACGGUACCUGCAGAAGAAGCACCGGCUAACUACGUGCCAGCAGCCGCGGUAAUACGUAGGGUGCAAGCGUUAAUCGGAAUUACUGGGCGUAAAGCGUGCGCAGGCGGUUUG